rnacentral:rRNA from 1 species
AUUGAACGCUGGCGGCAGGCCUAACACAUGCAAGUCGAACGAGUGGCGGACGGGUGAGUAAUGUCUGGGAAACUGCCUGAUGGAGGGGGAUAACUACUGGAAACGGUAGCUAAUACCGUAUACCAUCAGAUGUGCCCAGAUGGGAUUAGCUAGGUGGUUGGGUUACGGCUCACCAAGGCGACGAUCCCUAGCUGGUCUGAGAGGAUGACCAGCCACGCUUGAACUGGUACACGGUCCAGACUCCUACGGGAGGCAGCAGUGGGGAAUAUUGCACAAUGGGCGCAUGCCUGAUGCAGCCAUGCCGCGUGUAUGAAGAAGGCCUUCGGGUUGUAAAGUACUUUCAGCGGGGAUGCGUUACCCGCAGAAGAAGCACCGGCUAACUCCGUGCCAGCCGCCUCGGUAAUUC